rnacentral:rRNA from 1 species
GAUCAUGGCUCAGGAUGAACGCUAGCGACAGGCUUAACACAUGCAAGUCGAGGGGCAUCAUGAGGUAGCAAUACCUUGAUGGCGACCGGCGCACGGGUGAGUAACGCGUAUGCAACCUGCCCGAUACCGGGGGUAUAGCCCAUGGAAACGUGGAUUAACACCCCCAUAGUACUUUUAUCCUGCCUGGGAUGGGAGUUAAAUGUUCAAGGUAUCGGAUGGGCAUGCGUCCUAUUAGUUAGUUGGG